AUUUAUAUAGUAUAAUAAUUACUUUUUAUUUCCAAUAAAAAAAUUUAAUUUAAAAUUAAUAUAAAUU
rnacentral:tRNA from 1 species